GACUAGAUAGCUCAGUUGGUAGAGCACAGGCCUGCCAAUCCGGGGUCGCGGGUUCAAAUCCUGCUCUAUUCA